rnacentral:rRNA from 1 species
CUUUCAGCAACGGAUCUCUUGGCUCUCCCAUCGAUGAAGAACGCAGCGAAAUGCGAUAAGUAAUGUGAAUUGCAGAAUUCAGUGAAUCAUCGAAUCUUUGAACGCACCUUGCGCCCUUUGGUAUUCCGAAGGGCAUGCCUGUUUGAGUGUCAUUAAAUUAUCAACCUUGUUCGCUUUUACGAGCUUGAGCGAGGCUUGGAUGUGAGGGCUUGCUGGCUUCCUUCAGUGGAUGGUCUGCUCCCUUUAAAUGCAUUAGUGGGAUCUCUUGUGGACCGUCACUUGGUGUGAUAAUUAUCUAUGCCAUUUGACUGUGAAGCAAAACUUAUGGGAACCUGCUUAUAACCGUCUCGCAAGGGACAAUUUAAUUGACUAUUUGACCUCAAAUCAGGUAGGACUACCCGCUGAACUUAAGCAUAUCAAUAAGCGGAGGAAAAGAAACUAACAAGGAUUCCCCUAGUAACUGCGAGUGAAGCGGGAAAAGCUCAAAUUUAAAAUCUGGCGGUCCCUGUGGCCGUCCGAGUUGUAAUUUAGAGAAGUGUUAUCCGCGCUGGACCGUGUACAAGUCUCCUGGAAUGGAGCGUCAUAGAGGGUGAGAAUCCCGUCUUUGACACGGACUGCCAGGGCAUUGCGAUACGCUCUCAAAGAGUCGAGUUGUUUGGGAAUGCAGCUCAAAAUGGGUGGUAAAUUCCAUCUAAAGCUAAAUAUUGGGGAGAGACCGAUAGCGAACAAGUACCGUGAGGGAAAGAUGAAAAGAACUUUGGAAAGAGAGUUAAACAGUACGUGAAAUUGCUGAAAGGGAAACGCUUGAAGUCAGUCGCGUCGCUCAGGACUCAGCCUUGCUUUUGCUUGGUGUACUUCCUGUUCGAUGGGUCAGCAUCAAUUUUGGUCGGUGGAUAAAGGCUUAGAGAAUGUGGCAUCUUCGGGUGUGUUAUAGCUCUGGGUUGUAUACAUCGGCUGGGAUUGAGGAACUCAGCACGCCGCAAGGCCGGGUACUUGUACCACGUACGUGCUUAGGAUGCUGGCAUAAUGGCUUUAAUCGACCCGUCUUGAAACACGGACC